AUUGAGCGCUGGCGGCAGGCUUAACACAUGCAAGUCGAGCGGGGUGAUGGUGCUUGCACUAUCACUUAGCGGCGGACGGGUGAGUAAUGCUUAGGAAUCUGCCUAUUAGUGGGGGACAACAUCUCGAAAGGGAUGCUAAUACCGCAUACGUCCUACGGGAGAAAGCAGGGGAUCACUUGUGACCUUGCGCUAAUAGAUGAGCCUAAGUCGGAUUAGCUAGUUGGUGGGGUAAAGGCCUACCAAGGCGACGAUCUGUAGCGGGUCUGAGAGGAUGAUCCGCCACACUGGGACUGAGACACGGCCCAGACUCCUACGGGAGGCAGCAGCGGGGAAUAUUGGACAAUGGGGGGAACCCUGAUCCAGCCAUGCCGCGUGUGUGAAGAGGGCCUUAUGGUUGUAAAGCACUUUAAGCGAGGAGGAGGCUCUUUUGGUUAAUACCCAAGAUGAGUGGACGUUACUCGCAGAAUAAGCACCGGCUAACUCUGUGCCAGCAGCCGCGGUAA
rnacentral:rRNA from 1 species